GACGCUGCAGACCAAUUGGUUAGAUCGCCUACACGAAAUGAGGUGGUGCAGGUUCAAAUCCCUCCGGCGCCC